UGGGGAAUAUUGCACAAUGGGCGCAAGCCUGAUGCAGCCAUGCCGCGUGUAUGAAGAAGGCCUUCGGGUUGUAAAGUACUUUCAGCGGGGAGGAAGGGAGUAAAGUUAAUACCUUUGCUCAUUGACGUUACCCGCAGAAGAAGCACCGGCUAACUCCGUGCCAGCAGCCGCGGUAAUACGGAGGGUGCAAGCGUUAAUCGGAAUUAUUGGGCGUAAAGCGCACGCAGGCGGUUUGUUAAGUCAGAUGUGAAAUCCCCGGGCUCAACCUGGGAACUGCAUCGGAUACUGGCAAGCUUGAGUCUCGUAGAGGGUGGUAGAAUUCCAGGUGUAGCGGUGAAAUGCGUAGAGAUCUGGAGGAAUACCGGUGGCGAAGGCGGCCCCCUGGACGAAGACUGACGCUCAGGUGCGAAAGCGUGGGGAGCAAACAGG
rnacentral:rRNA from 1 species